GGGCGUGUGGUCUAGUGGUAUGGCGUCUGCUUCGCAUCGUCUGAUGUCCUGACAUCAAAAUACAUGUGAUCUGCUGAAGGUCCGGGGUUCAAUUCCCCGCUCGUCCA
rnacentral:tRNA from 1 species